GGCGGACGGGUGAGUAAUGCGUAGGAAUUUACCUCAAAGCGGGGGAUAGCCCGGAGAAAUCCGGAUUAAUACCGCAUGUGCUCUACGGAGGAAAGCGGGCCUCUUCUUGAAAGCUUGCACUUUGAGAUAAGCCUACGUCGGAUUAGCUUGUUGGUAGGGUAAAAGCCUACCAAGGCAACGAUCCGUAGCUGGUUUGAGAGGAUGAUCAGCCACACUGGGACUGAGACACGGCCCAG
rnacentral:rRNA from 1 species